rnacentral:lncRNA from 1 species
CCCACUGGUUCAGACAGAAGCCUCUGGGAGAGCCCUCCAGAGUCCACCUUGAAGGCUUCAUUCCUUCUACCCAGAGCAUCUCCGUGGAGAGGAAGAAAAAGCAUCAACGAAAUGAGGUGCCCCAGCGGUUCUGGGGAGCAAUUCCUCUCUUCAUAUGACCAUUUGGGAAACCCCCAGUGAGAUGGAGUGUGCUUUUAAGCCAUGAAAACCAUGCACAUCAGCCCCACCACAGAGCCUGUGUGAUUUCAUCUUAGAUGGUAUCUUGGAAGCAAGACCUACCUGGACUUUUUAGAAAUCUAAUCUAAUCAUUUUCUGUCUUGGAGUAGAACUUUUAUCUGGCGGCACCAUCACCCUGGGAGACUCCAAAACAGAAAACCAGACAGACAGUGGUUACAAAAUAAAAGACCUGUGUUUGCAGGGAGUUGAAAGGCACAAGUGCGGACAAGAGGAUCAAUCAAAGCUCCGUUCUGUUCCCAAUCCUUCCAGUCCCGAUGCUCCAGAGAGCAGGGGAGGCACCUGUACACAGGUACUGGGCAUGACUGAUGAGGCAGUGCCCAGGAGCCCAACUUCCUCGAAGCGAGAGAAAGGACAGAGAUGCUAAGAUCUGCACACUUCCACAUUUUAGAGAAUUUGGGAGACCCAUGUUGGAUGUGGACCGUGGUUCUUAUUGGUAUUAUUUUCUGAGUGGUAGAUGUGCUUAAUCCCAGCACCUGCCUAAACUGAUGACAACAGCGGCUUUCCUACUGGAAGGACAUUGCCACUUGAUAGCAUAUGCUGUACCUCGCUUGCAUGUCCCUGCUUCCAAGCUUUGGGGAUUUCUAGGAUUGUUUUCUCCUAGUUUCCUUGUGUCACGUGGGCUCCUUUAUAAAAUAUCCCCAUAUAAUAGUGCAUGAUGUGCUCUAUUACAAAACACAAAUGUGUCUGUCCAAGACAGCCUGGGGGCAGCGAGCUGGGGCGUGGCAAGGAGACCAACUGGAAUGACGGGAGAGCCCUAGUGGAUGCACAGUGCACCGCUCUUACACCACAAGCCUCCCGCCCCAGCAUGAUUUAACCCGUGAAGAAAGCAGAGCAUUUAAUAUGUUCUACAGAUGUUUUAAAAAAGGAAUAACGGCGCUUGUCCCAAGUGUGGGAUGGAGGCACACACUCUUCUGAGAUGUGAAGCAAAUUUCAUAUCUCAAAAGAGAAAAAGGACAACAGUUCCUGCUCAGUCACCAAGUCUGAUUCUCAACCCUGGAACGCCUCAGCCUGCCUGAGCCCAGAAAUGAGGCUCCUUGUGAACACUAUGGAAAUGCAAUGGCUGUUUUGAUUUUCCAUAAUGGACAGCACACUGGUCCAGGAGGCAUAUCCAAUCUAAAUGAACUAGCAUCUGUGAAACUUCCUAGCACAGUCCCAGCACAUCGCAGGAGCUGAACUAAUGUUCUUUUCCCUUCCCAAGGAACCCUGAAGCCUUUGAAGGAACCGUGAUUGGGAAGGCAUCAGCAUUUGCUUUUCGCUGGUAUAAAUUUGGACCACUGGUCUGCCCGGGGUGUCCCCUGCCAGUGGUCGUGGACUGCUAGGGAAGCACAGCACACCCCCCAACACCCCCCCGCAAGGAAGACCCCUCAUUGCCCACCAAUGUCCUCUUUCUGGCGUCCCUCACGUUCCUGGCCGAGACCCUCCGUUCAGUCACGCCAUGAGGUCAGGGCCACGGUUGCCAUUGUCUGCUGGAAGCCAGUGCAGCACUUGGAGCUUAGAAGAUGCACACAACUCUUUGUUAAAGAACAAAGAAAUGGGAGAAACUUUUUAAAAGAAAAUAAACAGAGAGAAAGAGGGUGAGACGAAGACUGUGGCUGAGGCUUUGUUUUCAGGCCGAAAGCAGGACACUCAGCUCAUUCUCAAUGAAACUUCAACAUCGAUAAUUCAAAUGUCUUAGAAAUUGUACAUUGGAAGGGGAAAUAAAAUGAUUUUUCAGCUCUUUUAGGCUUACAGAUACCUAAAUGAAGCAUAGAUUGUAGAAUGUUGUUCAGAAGGGAAUUAAAUUUGGAUUUCAUCCUUCCCAGGGACUGGGGGCACUGCUUGUCACUUUGACUCAAAUGGAGAGUCCCUGCCACUGCUUGCUUGCCUUCAUCUGACCACACUGUGCUAAGCGCCCAGCCCCAGGGUAUAGCUGAGCCCUGCACCAGCUGCAGUGAACCGCUUGGCCGGGUGCCCUCUUAGAUCCUCCCUGCCCUGUUCCCUGGCUCUCUGUCCCCUGCGGUCCUCUUCUCUAGGACUGUUGAAACUUCUCCGCAUCUGGUCAGCUUCACACAAAAGGGCUCCUAUUUUACAGGCUGAGAGCCCCUUCCUGUGUGUUGUCAAAACUGACACAUCGCAUUGCUUAGGUUUAAUCUUCAGGUACUUUUUCUGUUUUUUUACCUAUAAAAUUAAUAUAAGCAUAUGCUCCCGUAAUCAACACAAUUUAGAUAAAGCAAGAGUUCCUCUGGGCCCUCCCACUUCCAUUUGCAUUUUCUUUUCUGUGGACUAACUGGUCAUCUUCUUUAUCCACUUGUCUAUGAGGUUGUUGAUCUUGGUCUUUUUUCUUAUUAACAGAUAGGAAUUCUUCAUAGAGCCUAGAUAACAAUCCAGAAUUCAUGUGUAUACGCACGCAUUUAUCUAUAUGUAUAUGUAUAAGCACAUUACACACAUACAUUUGCACACAUACAAAUGUUAGAAAUAUCUUCUCCAACUCUGUUGCUUGUCUUUUAUCUCAGCUUAUAGAGGUUUCCGAUUUUGAAUCAGAAGUUUCACAUUUCAUUGAAGGUAGACAUCACUCUUUCUCUAUUUGCUUUUGUGAUUUGUGUCUUGCUCAAGGCCUUCCCUGUCCUACCCCCAUGUCAAAAGCAUGUUCUCCACUAUUUUCUUUCAGUCCUUAAUCUUUCUUCCGUAGGUAGCCAAUGUCCAGCACGUUUGGUAAUGACACCUCCUCGGUGAAGCGCAAGGCCACCUUGACCCCAGCUCCCAUGGGUCUGUCUUCAGGGGAAUUUUGAGGUUGUUUUUGCUGCAGGGUGUCAGGAACUCCUUCCUCUCUGAUUCUUGGAAAAGUUUACUGUUUGCUGCUGGCUUUGUGGUCUCUCCUCCCUGUGCAGGUAGGGUGUGGAGGGUAAUCAGAGUCAGUCCAGAGGUUGCUCAAAGUUUCAGUUUAUCUCCAGCCACUAUUUGCUAACUCAUCUGAGAAUUCUGCCAAGAUAAACAUCAGACAGACCCUCCUAUGGUUCAAUCAGUCUGCUCCUGGGAAAAUUAGGACAUGUGUCUGCCCGGCUCUGCUGGUGUUCCUGAGAGUGACUGGUCUCUGUGUGACCUUUCAUUGGCCAGGCUCCCCCAAGGGAAACGUCCACCAGCAGAAAAAGUAGGAAAAAAAUCCCUUUAUGCAGAGAAAAUACACUGCAGAAACAAACAUAGUCUAACCCUGCCUUUUAAAACAUAGCUUUUAGACUGAAAGAGUUCACCCUUCCUCUCUCCACCUGGUCACUCUUGGGAUGACAAUUUCAAAUCCCACAUAACAUUCACAGUGUGUUAUUCCCAUGCAAUUACCUUGUUAGGUUUCAUACAUUUAGAACACGGAGGGGGACAGGGGAUGCUUCUCCGCAGUCUCUUCGUUAUUGGGACAUACUCCAACGCUCAGACAGCUCCACAAUGCACCUUUCUCCCACUCUUCAUUCCUUUUCUGGCAACACUCUUUCUCUCUCAGAGGAUUUUAAAAACAUGUCUUGUUACAAAAAGCAAAGAAUGACAGUUGCUUCAGAAAAAUACCCAACUGAAAGAUCCACUCCCUGACCAUGGAGAGCUCACUACAGAUCUAGAAACGCGAGGCAGAGACUUGAAGAUGCUGCACACAUCCUGUGUGGGAGUGGGAGAAAAGCUGCUGCUUCCUUAGCAUUAAAACAGACAGGGUCAUUUCAGCCUUGCAGGGGAUGACCAGCCCUCACUGGAAUUAUGUGAUGGCAUCACAUUUGCUCCUCAUGUAAACAUUCCAGCGGGAGAACGACUGCUCCCUGAAGACACUCAUGGUGUGAUAAACAGCAGUCAGUGGAAUCAAGGCAGGGGCGAGGUCCUCUUCCUUCUGCCUCCUUCUCACCAUGGCACCUUGAGAGAGGCCCUUUGUCCCUCGGGUUUUUCCAUUUUCUCAUUUGCAAAAUGAAGAGGAUCCCAUCUACACCGUCGUGUUUAGAAAUGACACAAGAUCACAAAAACCUCUGCCGCCUCGAAGAUACAGAAUUGCUGGUGAGGCUCGUUGUCUGAGAGCCGGGCUCUGCUCCCCUCGGGGCCAAGUCUACCAAUUGUUCUUUGGAAAACAAAAGCUGGAGGCAUUAAAACUGGGCUGUUCCAAGUGUUCUUUACGUUUUAUAAAUUUUAUAAGGUGAAACUCAAUAUUUAGAUGAUUGGUAGAAACGUCUCUUGGGGGCUUUAUGGUUUUCUAACAUAGAGUGGGGGGACAUGUUACCUCGGCAGGAGCAUGUGGGCUGAGAGGAGGGAACCACAUCAGGGAGGCCGGUGACUGGAGAGGGAAGUCCUCCUCCUGUGGAGGGCCUGGCCCUCAUGGAUUCCCCACUUCCAGGCAACUUUGUGACCUCAGAGAAGCUAACCUGAUGUGCAUGCUACUGACGUUGCCCAUGCCGCUCCUGCUGGCUGAUGGAACUAUCUGUCUGGAGUCUGUGGAUGGCAGACCUCCUGAUUGUGUGGAGCGUGAGUUUUUCGAAAGAGAUCUCUCACUUUCAUCCAGGCUGGAGUGUAGUGGCACACACCACCACACCAGGAUAAUUCUU